rnacentral:rRNA from 1 species
AAUUGGAGGGCAAGUCUGGUGCCAGCAGCCGCGGUAAUUCCAGCUCCAAUAGCGUAUAUUAAAGUUGUUGCAGUUAAAAAGCUCGUAGUUGAAUUUCGGGACUGACAGGUUGGUCGCGCCUUCGGUGUGUACUGGCCUAGUCGGUUUCUCCCUUCUGACGAACCACGAUGUCAUUAAUUUGGUGUCGUGGGGAAUCAGGACUGUUACUUUGAAAAAAUUAGAGUGUUUAAAGCAGGCUUAGGCUUGAAUACAUUAGCAUGGAAUAAUGAAAUAGGACGUUUGACCCUAUUUUGUUGGUUUCUAGGAUCGACGUAAUGAUUAAUAGGGAUAGUUGGGGGCAUUAGUAUUCAAUUGUCAGAGGUGAAAUUCUUGGAUUUAUUGAAGACUAACUACUGCGAAAGCAUUUGCCAAGGAUGUUUUCAUUAAUCAAGAACGAAAGUUAGGGGAUCGAAGACGAUCAGAUACCGUCGUAGUCUUAACCAUAAACUAUGCCGACUAGGGAUCGGAUGAUGUUAAUUUUUUAAUGACUCAUUCGGCGCCUUACGGGAAACCAAAGUGU